rnacentral:tRNA from 1 species
GGCCAGGUAGCUCAGUUGGUACGAGCGUCCGCCUGAAAAGCGGAAGGUCGCCAGUUCGAUCCUGGCCCUGGCCACCA